UACGAAGGGUGCAAGCGUUGUUCGGAAUCACUGGGCGUAAAGAAUGCGUAGGCGGCUUAACAAGUCAGGAGUGAAAUCCCAGGGCUUAACCCUGGAACUGCUUCUGAAACUGUUUUGCUAGAGUCCCGGAGGGGUUGGCGGAAUUCCGAGUGUAGAGGUGAAAUUCGCAGAUAUUCGGAGGAACACCAGUGGCGUAGGCGGCCAACUGGACGGGAACUGACGCUGAGGCAUGAAAGUGUGGGGAUCAAACAGG
rnacentral:rRNA from 1 species